UGACAUGUUCAACGGCCGCGGUAUUUUGACCGUGCAAAGGUAGCGUAAUCACUUGUCUUUUAAAUAAAGACCCGUAUGAAAGGCAUCACGAGAGCUUAACUGUCUCUAUUUUCUAAUCAAUGAAAUUGAUCUAUUCGUGCAGAAGCGAAUAUAAUAACAUUAGACGAGAAGACCCUAUGGAGCUUCAAACACUUAGACUAAUUAUGUAAUUUUUUUCCGCCUGUGGGUAAAAACAAAAAUAUAAUAUUUCUAGUUUAAUUGUUUUUGGUUGGGGUGACCAAGGGGAAAAACAAAUCCCCCUUAUCGACCAAGUACUCAGUACUUAAAAAUUAGAGCGACAGCUCUAAUCAAUAAAACAUUUAUCGAAAAAUGACCCAGGAUUUCCUGAUCAAUGAACCAAGUUACCCUAGGGAUAACAGCGCAAUCCUUUCCCAGAGUUCCUAUCGACGAAAGGGUUUACGACCUCGAUGUUGGAUCAGGACAUCCUAAUGGUGCAACCGCUAUUAAGGGUUCGUUUGUUCAACGAUUAAUAUCCUACGUGAUCUGAGUUC
rnacentral:rRNA from 1 species